UACGGAGGGGGCUAGCGUUGUUCGGAAUUACUGGGCGUAAAGCGUGCGCAGGCGGUUUCUUAAGUCAGAUGUGAAAGCCCCGGGCUUAACCUGGGAACUGCGUUUGAAACUGGGAGACUUGAGUGUGGCAGAGGGGGGUGGAAUUCCACGUGUAGCAGUGAAAUGCGUAGAUAUGUGGAGGAACACCAAUGGCGAAGGCAGCCCCCUGGGUCAACACUGACGCUCAUGCACGAAAGCGUGGGGAGCAAACAGG
rnacentral:rRNA from 1 species